AAAAACCCAAGUCCAAACAUUCAGAAAGUCUAGAACAUUCGCCCACUAGAAUUAUCUAGGAAAGCCACAGUGUACUAGAAUACCCCUCCAACCACUACAAAUACGUCAACCUUCCUCACUGGCAGCAGCAUUCAGUGCACGGAAAAGCAUCCCGUUAACUUAGCAAUCAAGUCCAGUCUUCUCGCUCAGCUCAGCUAAAGAUGUCGCUCACUCCUUUCUCCGGCAACCGAAGAAGCAGCAUCUUCGAUCCUUUCUCACUUGACAUUUGGGACCCCUUCAAGGACUUCCCUUUCCCUUCCUUUGCUUCUUCUUCCUCGCUCUUCCCUCGUGAAAAUUCUGCGUUUGUUAGCACCCGCAUCGACUGGAAGGAAACCCCUGAAGCCCAUGUCUUCAAGGCUGAUCUUCCUGGCCUUAGAAAAGAAGAGGUGAAGGUUGAGAUUGAAGAUGAUCGGGUGCUGCAAAUUAGCGGAGAGAGGCAUGUGGAGAAGGAAGACAAGAACGAUACUUGGCAUCGCGUGGAACGCAGCAGCGGGAAGUUUUCCAGGAGUUUUAGGCUGCCGGAGAAUACUAAGAUGGAUCAGAUUAAGGCUUCCAUGGAAAAUGGGGUUCUUACUGUGACUGUGCCAAAGGCGGAGGUCAAGAAACCUGAUGUUAAGGCUAUUGAAAUCUCUGGCUGAAGAUUUCAAGUUAAGUGUCAUCUCUCUCCUGCGACACGUAUUUACGAUAUAUGUGAUGAAUGAUAAGAUGAGGUUUUUGUGGUAUGUGAAAAGUGUUUAUGAAAUUAAGUUGGCUAAGCUUUUGAAUUAGGAGGUUUAUGUGUUAUGUGGAAAGUGUUCGAUAAAAUUAAGUUGGCUGUAAUGUGGAGUUGUUUAACUUAAUGUUAUAUACUUGGGUCUUUUCUGUAGAUAUCCAAGGAAUCGAAGUAUGUGCUUUUUUGUAAAUCUUGCUAAUCUGGCCACCCUCUUGUUUGUUCUAAUGAAUGGAGUGAGAUUGUGAUACCAGUUUGAAUGCUCGAAUUUAUGUAUGUUCGGUUUGAAAUGAGUUUCAAUGGCAUCGAGCAAGAAAGGAGAGGUAUAAAUAAGGAUGCCAUAUCCUCUUCCUGGCAUUUUUUUUUUUUUUUCACUUCGUUCACCAAAAUGCCUUGUUUUUUGAUGGCUAAGACAUGCUAGUUACAGGGACCCAAAAAAAGAUGUUUUGUUCAUGUGAUUCAUUUCUUUAAUUAGCAGAUAGCCAACAAAGGGUGCAAAUUAUGGAAGAGAAUAUGAGAAAUUAGUAUGAUAAACAGAUAUUUUGUUAAUGUGAUUCAAUUUUUUUAUUAGCAGAUGGCCAAGAAAGGGUGCACACUAUGGAAGACAUUAUGAGAAAUUAAUAUGAUAAAACAAACAUUCUGUUUAUGUGAUUCAUUUCUUUU
rnacentral:misc_RNA from 1 species